rnacentral:rRNA from 1 species
UACGUAGGGAGCGAGCGUUGUCCGGAAUCAUUGGGCGUAAAGAGCACGUAGGUGGAUUGAUCAGUCUGUCGUGAAAGUCAACGGCUCAACCGUUGAAGGCCGGUGGAUACUGUUGAUCUAGAGUACGGAAGAGGCGAGUGGAAUUCCUGGUGUAGCGGUGGAAUGCGCAGAUAUCAGGAGGAACACCAAUAGCGAAGGCAGCUCGCUGGGACGUUACUGACACUGAGGUGCGAAAGCGUGGGGAGCAAACAGGA